CUUGACUGACCAGGGACUGUAGGAUGUCAUGCUUGGACAGCUCAGCUACAAACCCAAGGCUGUUCCUUUCUUGGAUCCAGUACUUUGGUCAUUUCUGAAGCCAGAUGUUUUGGAAACCAGUCCUGUUUAGUAUAACAGAGAUUUAACACCAUUUGGAGCUAAUUACUGUGCAGCAGCAGUCACUGGGGUGGUACCUCUUCCCCAGUUACACUGCAGCAUUUGGCUAAUCAGAUCCUCUCUGUUGGGACUUUGUCAAAAGAUCAGGUUUAUCCACUGAAACUCAAGGGCAUUUCCAUCUGUUACUCUGCCUUAUGUGGAAAUUCUGUCAGCUUCGGCAUCUUCAAGUUGUACAGGGACAACCACUUUGACAAUGUACUUCAGGCCUUUGUCAAAACGCUGCUUUCAGUAUCCCACAGUGACCUGCUAGCAAGCAAUUUCUCAUCUUGGGAGUCUUUAUGUGAAACAUGAAAUAAUACCACCACAGGCUUUGUAUUGGUAUAAUGAGACAGAGGGAUCCAGAACAACUCAAACAGAGUUUUCAGUUCAAUUACUUGAAUUUAUUUAUAUAGUGACAUCUGAAACGCAGGUAUGACUGAAGUGCCUUGUGAAAUGGGAGCUUUUCCAGAACUCUCACUAGGCUUGUAAAAGAGAGAAAUGCAGGUUUUUUUCCUUUUCUAUACUUGCAAACCCGUUUCAUUGUCUGCGUGCACUGUAAAGCAUCCUCAUAUAUCCAGCUACUCAACAAUUAGUUUCAAUCUGCAAAUUGUCACUGUGUAUUCCCAAUAAAAUGGAAAAGUUUAAAAUUAAAGUCUACCAUAUUCCCACUUCUUUGUGGGAAGACAACAGAUCUUGGGUAAUAUCAGCCUGAAUUUGAACUGGGCCUUUUUCUUCAUGAUUCUUUAGUCCAGAGCUGUCACUGUCUUGCAGAAAGGGACAAAUCUGGGAUAGUUAAAAAUCGUUAAUACCCAGAUUUAUUUUUGCCACAUAAAGAAAGUCCAUGGAAGUGAAAAGUUGCUCUGAAUUAAAGUUGGUGUAUUGGCCUAACUGCACAUUCCCAGCUACCCAGCACUUAAUUCCCGAAACAAGAGUCCUUAAGAGGAAAAUACGGGUUGGAGAUUGGGCUGCGUUCAAGCAGGUGUCUUUGCCUGAGCAAAGGCUGUUAUAGGAGCUCACAUAAGCAGCAAAAAAAGUCUAUCUCUGAGAUGGUUUGGGGAAAUCCAUGAUAAAUCUUAGUGAGAUUUCCUGCAGAAGGUCAGCUAUGCCCAGAGUCCUGGGCAGAACAUCAUCCUGCUCCUCCCAGACUGACAGCAUGUUGGAUGGUGAAGCACUGUAGCAUUUUCGGACUAUCCUGAGCGUAUUUUAAACUGAUAGCAAGUUACAUCCAAUGAUAAAUUUGAAAAGUUGAAAUCUACUGAAGACAGGAAAAUAUUUUAGCUCUAUAAAUAUUCUGAUUCAUUGACUCAUUUUAAAUUUAUCAUAUCAUAAAAUCUCUAAGAUCAUUCUUCUGUCAUCUGUUAAUGUUGUUAACAUUAGUCAGUGGUAAUAUCUAUAUUUUCUAUGAAUGUGUACUCUUUUUUUCAGCAAUAUUAAAAACUAAACCAGUCUUAUUACCCACUUUUGGCAUGUCUGACCCAAGAUCAUAUGAGUUUCAUUACCAGUUUGGAAUCUCACAUCUUAUUCUGACCUCAAUAUCUGAAGGACUUACUGCAGUAGGUAAGAAUUACUUACACUUGGCUAAAGGAAGAAUUCAUGUAUUUAGAUAUCUCAGAUUUUCAAAGCAGCACAUUCAUUUGUAUCUUUAAAAAAUUAAUAUCAAGGGACAGUGGAAGAUGCUGGCUUUUGAACAUUUAAAGAAUGUGACUAUUUUAGUUACUAGAACUAAGUUCUUUUAAACCUGUAGAUUUUUACAGAUAGUGUUUUUAAAUAUUCUGUUCUUACAAACCUGAAUUGUUAAAAUUAUUAAUGUGCCUCCACUAGAAUUGUACUGAAAAUUCAUGCAUUUGUUAUUCAGAAGUAAAAUAUUAAUGUAUGUACAAGUAUCUGUGGGGUUUUGUUUUUAUUUGAUCAGCAUGGCUGUUGUAUAAAUAACACUUGUUCUGCACAGCUGUGAUGUGAUUUGAGCAAUGUAAAGGUGUCUGCCUGUGGAAAAAAGAAACUUGUUACUCAGUACUUCCUUUAGAGUACGCUUUAGAGGAGAAUCAGAGCCGGGGAAGGAUACUUGGAGUAUGAUAC